AUUGAACGCUGGCGGCAUGCUUUACACAUGCAAGUCGAACGGUAACAGGUUAAGCUGACGAGUGGCGAACGGGUGAGUAAUGCAUCGGAACGUGCCCGAUCGUGGGGGAUAAAGCAGCGAAAGCUGCGCUAAUACCGCACACGAUCGGAGGACGAAAGCGGGGGACCGUAAGGCCUCGAGCGAUCGGACCGGCCGAUGUCAGAUUAGGUAGUUGGUGGGGUAAAGGCUCACCAAGCCAACGAUCUGUAGCUGGUCUUAGAGGACGACCAGCCACACUGGGACUGAGACACGGCCCAGACUCCUACGGGAGGCAGCAGUGGGGAAUUUUGGACAAUGGGCGAAAGCCUGAUCCAGCAAUGCCGCGUGCAGGAAUAAGGCCUUCGGGUUGUAAACUGCUUUUGUACGGAGCGAAAAGGCCCUCUCUAAUACAGUGGGCUCAUGACGGUACCGUAAGAAUAAGCACCGGCUAACUACGUGCCAGCCGCCGCUGUAA
rnacentral:rRNA from 1 species